rnacentral:lncRNA from 1 species
CGCCUUCCAAGGACUUCAUGAUGAGAAGAGUAGGAGGUCUUACUUCUUGUACUUGUGUUUAAGGUCUUACUUCUUGUCCUUGUGGUUUUUUUUUUUCCAUCUCCUAUAACGUUUAGCAUAUGAUUGGUUGAUACGUGGGGGCAAAAGAUGCAAGACUUCAGUUAGAUUUCCAAAUUCGGGUUAAAAUGUUGUUUCGAUAAUUAGUUCUGAUUUUGGA